rnacentral:rRNA from 1 species
GACGAACGCUGGCGGCGUGCUUAACACAUGCAAGUCGAACGGAAAGGCCCUGCUUUUGUGGGGUGCUCGAGUGGCGAACGGGUGAGUAACACGUGAGUAACCUGCCCUUGACUUUGGGAUAACUUCAGGAAACUGGGGCUAAUACCGGAUAGGAGCUCCUGCUGCAUGGUGGGGGUUGGAAAGUUUCGGCGGUUGGGGAUGGACUCGCGGCUUAUCAGCUUGUUGGUGGGGUAGUGGCUUACCAAGGCUUUGACGGGUAGCCGGCCUGAGAGGGUGACCGGCCACAUUGGGACAGAGAUACGGACCAGACUCCUACGGGAGGCAGCAGUGGGGAAUAUUGCACAAUGGGCGGAAGCCUGAUGCAGCAACGCCGCGUGCGGGAUGACGGCCUUCGGGUUGUAAACCGCUUUCGCCUGUGACGAAGCGUGAGUGACGGUAAUGUGUAAAGAAGCACCGGCUAACUACGUG